rnacentral:rRNA from 1 species
AUUUAACGGCCGCGGUACCCUAACCGUGCGAAGGUAGCAUAAUCACUUGUUCUUUAAAUGAGGACUCGUAUCAACGGCAUCACGAGGAUCCUACUGUCUCCCCCCUCUAAUCGGUGAAACUGAUCUCUCCGUGAAGAAGCGGAGAUGUACAUAUAAGACGAGAAGACCCCAUGGAGCUUUAAACCCAACAACACCCGCCCCCCUCCAAAUCCUAUUAUUUACCCGGUGAUUGUUUGUUUGGUUUUAGGUUGGGGUGACCGCGGAGUAUAAGAUAUCCUCCAUGAAAAAAAGCUAACUGCCCUUAUUAGAGAAAGACACUUCCAAAAAAUAAUAAAUUAAUUUUAAAUGAUCCGACAUUCGAUCAACGAACCAAGUUACCCUGGGGAUAACAGCGCAAUCCGCCCCGAGAGCCCCUAUCGACAGGCGGGUUUACGACCUCGAUGUUGGAUCAGGGUAUCCCAGUGGUGCAGCAGCUACUAAAGGUUCGUUUGUUCAACGAUUAAAACCCU